rnacentral:ncRNA from 1 species
GAACAGGGGAGCCUGCAGCAGCGGGCUGAGAAAGGACUGCAGAUGUCCUGACCCAUAACCUGAUUUGGGUAAUGCCAACGUAGGGAAAUGA